AAUCAUCAUCAACGUGUACAAAAUAUUAAACAGCAAUCAACGAUAAAUCCAAUAAAAACAACAGCCACUGUGAAUCAUAAACUACAACAUUCAAAUGUUAAUAAACAACCAGCAUCAUCAUUAUCAAAAACGAUUUUCACCAAUCAAAAAUCAAGAUAAAAAAUCUAUUCCAUCAUAUGGACCAGCAUUUGAUCCAUUGAUAUAUGAUUUUAUUUAUUGUCCAGCCAUUCAUUAUCAAUUAAGUCGACAAUAUUUAUGGGCAUAUAAAUCGACUGAUCAGAUACGCAAAAUUCUUGUACCAAUCAAUGAAGAUGGUUCUCGACAACCAUUCGUGCAAUUCUUUCCAUCCACCGAUGGAGUACGAAAAUUGAACCAUGUUGAACAAUUGAAAUAUUUGAUGAAUCAAGAAUGGCAUGAAUUGAAUCAAGAAAUUUGGAAAUUUGUCAAUGGUCAUAACGAUUAUUCAAUAGGUCAAAAACCAUGUAAAAUUCCCCGAUUCACUAGUACCGGAAAUCGAAGUGAUGUUGGUGCUGAUCCUGCAACAUUCUAUUCGCCAAUUUUACCAAAAUUGGCCAUUCAGAACUCGUUUGAAAAUCAAAAACCGAAUUUUGCCAUUGAUUCUCACGAUAAUGAUUUAUUUAAUUAUUCAUCAUCAACCAUCAAUUCAUUGAACAAUGAAUCUUUUGAAAACUUUAAUUCUUUAUUUGAUUUGUCGGCAAACAAAUAUACUGCCAAUUAUCGCGAUGUAUCGGAUAUUUCAUCACGUUGUGCUACACCAUCAUCCGGUGUAUGUUCCGUAUUUUCUAGUUCACCCAAUUCAAGUACAUCGAUUUUGAAUGAAAAUUUGAAACAAUCAAACAAUUUUUUGGCUAUGUCAAUGGAUGAACAAUUCCUUGGCCAUAAUGAUGAAAAUAAUCGGAUGCCUGCGAUCGAGUCGGAUAUCGAGCUUUCUCGUAUGGGCAACAUAAAACCGAAUAAUAAUCUUAAUCAAUCGGCUAUUAAUUCGGAUUGGAAAUUAAAAAAUUUUCAAAUCAAUACAUUACCUGUGAAUAAUUUGGAGGCAUUGAAACCAAAACGUCUUCACGUAAGUAAUAUUCCUUUCCGUUAUCGUGAUACCGAUCUUCAACAAUUAUUUGAGCCGUACGGUCAUAUUUUGAACACUGAAGUAAUUUUCAACGAUCGAGGGUCAAAAGGAUUUGGUUUUGUAACAUUCGCUAAUGGUUUAAGCGCCGAUACUGCUCGGGAUUGUUUGAACGGUCAGAUCAUUGAUGGCCGUAAAAUUGAGGUCAAUAAUGCCACUACACGUUCAUCACGUAAAGCUAUGUGAUGAAAUCCAGCUGAAAUCAUAUGAAUAUGUUACCCACAUCUGUAUCUUUGUCAUCAUCAUCAUCAUCAUCAUCAACAACAACAACAACAACAGCUACUACAAAGCCAAAGGAUAACCAUAAUGAUUUCAAAUAUGAAGGCAAUUCGAUGGAUACGGCAACAAAUUUACACAUCAUCAUCGUUAUCGUUAUCGUUAUCUUCAUCAAAACGUUUUUUCAUUAAUAGAAAUUGAAUCGUCUGAAAUCAACAACAAUAUGAAUUCGAUACGAGAGCCAACAAUUCAAUCAUGUUUUGAAACGGCAAGAUUUAAGCCAUAUUGACGAUUCAAUUCAUCAUUAAUCAUCAUCAUCAUCAUCAUAAUAAUUAUGUC